rnacentral:rRNA from 1 species
GACGAACGCUGGCGGCGUGCCUAACACAUGCAAGUCGAACGGGACCUGCCCCUUCGGGGACAAGUUUAGUGGCGAACGGGUGAGUAACGCGUGAGGAACCUGCCUUUCAGUGGGGGACAACAGUUGGAAACGACUGCUAAUACCGCAUAAGCCCACGGAACCGCAUGGUUCUGGGGGAAAAGGAGCAAUUCGCUCUGGGAUGGACUCGCGUCCGAUUAGCUGGAUGGUGAGGUAACGGCCCACCAUGGCGACGAUCGGUAGCCGGACUGAGAGGUUGAUCGGCCACAUUGGGACUGAGACACGGCCCAG